UUUAAGAAAACAGGGAGCAGGUAUCAGGCACACACUCGUAGCCCAAAACACCUUGCUCAGCCACGCCCCCAAGGGAAUUCAGCAGUGAUUAAUAUUAGCAAAUAAACGAAAGUUUGACCUAGUUACAGUUGCACAGAGUCGGCCAAUCUCGUGCCAGCCGCCGCGGUUAUACGAGCGACUCGAAUUAAUAAAAAAACGGCGUAAAGAGUGCAUAAGAAUAGCCCUUCCCCCAUUAAAACUGAAGUGGUGCCUAACUGUUAUACGUACUCGCACCAAUGAAAAACAAUUACGAAAGUAAUUUUAUAAAAAAUAGACCUCUUAAAACACGAUAGCUAAAGAACAAACUGGGAUUAGAUACCCCACUAUGUUUGGCCCUAAACCUAGGUAUUUACUUACCCAAAUACCCGCCAGAGAACUACAAGCGCCAGCUUGAAACCCAAAGGACUUGGCGGUGCCUUAGACCCCCCUAGAGGAGCCUGUUCUAGAACCGAUAAUCCCCGUUCAACCUCACCAUCUCUUGCUAUUACAGCCUAUAUACCGCCGUCGCCAGCUUGCCCUAUGAAGGACAAACAGCAAGCAAAAAGAAUUGACCUCCAAAACGUCAGGUCGAGGUGUAGCUUAUGAGAUGGGAAGAAAUGAGCUACAUUUUCUACCAAGAUCAACAGAUAAACAAUGAAAUCAAAAUUGAAGUUGGAUUUAGCAGUAAGAGAUAAAUAGUAUAUUAAUCUG
rnacentral:rRNA from 1 species